UACGGAGGGUGCAAGCGUUAUCCGGAUUCACUGGGUUUAAAGGGUGCGUAGGUGGGCUUGUAAGUCAGUGGUGAAAUCUCCGGGCUUAACCCGGAAACUGCCAUUGAUACUAUAGGUCUUGAAUCUUCUGGAGGUCAGCGGAAUAUGUCAUGUAGCGGUGAAAAUGCUUAGAUAUGACAUAGAACACCAAUUGCGAAGGCAGCUGC
rnacentral:rRNA from 1 species